rnacentral:rRNA from 1 species
UACGUAGGGUGCAGGCGUUAAUCGGAAUUACUGGGCGUAAAGCGCACGUAGGCGGUCUUUUAAGUCGGGGGUGAAAGCCUGUGGCUCAACCACAGAAUUGCCUUCGAUACUGUUUGGCUUGAGUUUGGUAGAGGUUGGUGGAACUGCGAGUGUAGAGGUGAAAUUCGUAGAUAUUCGCAAGAACACCAGUGGCGAAGGCGGCCAACUGGACCAACACUGACGCUGAGGCGCGAAAGCGUGGGGAGCAAACAGGG